UGGGGAAUAUUGCGCAAUGGGGGGAACCCUGACGCAGCCAUGCCGCGUGAAUGAAGAAGGCCUUAGGGUUGUAAAGUUCUUUCGGUAUUGAGGAAGGUUGAUGUGUUAAUAGCACAUCAAAUCGACGUUAAAUACAGAAGAAGCACCGGCUAACUCCGUGCCAGCAGCCGCGGUAAUACGGAGGGUGCGAGCGUUAAUCGGAAUAACUGGGCGUAAAGGGCACGCAGGCGGUUAUUUAAGUGAGGUGUGAAAGCCCCGGGCUUAACCUGGGAAUUGCAUUUCAGACUGGGUAACUAGAGUACUUUAGGGAGGGGUAGAAUUCCACGUGUAGCGGUGAAAUGCGUAGAGAUGUGGAGGAAUACCGAAGGCGAAGGCAGCCCCUUGGGAAUGUACUGACGCUCAUGUGCGAAAGCGUGGGGAGCAAACAGGAUUAGAUACCCUGGUAGUCCACGCUGUAAACGCUGUCGAUUUGGGGGUUGGGGUUUAACUCUGGCGCCCGUAGCUAACGUGAUAAAUCGACCGCCUGGGGAGUACGGCCGCAAGGUUA
rnacentral:rRNA from 1 species